AACCUUUGCAAUACACGAAAGUGUGACAGGGUCAUCCCGAGUGCCGACCGCUGAGGUUGGCUUUUACCCAGUCUAGAAAGCUGGGGGAAUAAGGAGAGGGCAAGUCUGGUGUCAGCCGCCGCGGUAAUACCAGCUCUCCGAGUGGUGUGGACGUUUAUUGGGCCUAAAGCAUCCGUAGCUGGCUGAUCAAGUCCCCUGUUAAACCCACCGAUUUAAUCGUUGGCUUGCGGGGGAUACUGCUCGGCUAGGGGACGAGAGAGGCAGACGGUAUUCCCGGGGUAGGGGUGAAAUCCUAUAAUCCCGAGAAGACCACCAGUGGCGAAGGCUGUCUGCUAGAACGCGCCCGACGGUGAGGGAUGAAAGCUGGGGGAGCGAACCGGA
rnacentral:rRNA from 1 species